UCAGCUCCUGGGGAAGGAUGAGGGGCUGGCCACCCAGGCACGGCGACCACAGGGCACUCCUCGCCACCUCCUCAGAUUUCAACACUUUCCUGGAAAACGAACUGAAAAAGAAAAAGACAAGGCAUUUCUCCUACUUCCUUUAAAGAAUUCACUUCAGAAUGAAUUCCACAUAAGCAGUACCUGACAGCCUGAUAGAAAGGGGCCAGUCUUCACUAGAGGGCACAAUCCUACAUUUUGCAAAAAGAGACAAAUCAUGGUGGCUUUUCAGUCCCUCACUCAACCUAUAUUUAAGGAAUUCACUGUUUUGAAGGGUGAAUAAACAUACAAGCCAACAUCCAGCAUGAGGAAGGAUCUGGAAGACCCAUCAUCUGUCAGCCUGCUCAUUUCUCACCCCAGGGCAUAGGAGGGAGCGCCCAACCCUGCCUGGCCCUUCGUGGUACCUUGGAAUCCAGCACUACACCUAUGUACUGAGCAGAACCAAUCAUAAUCCUUUCCCAAGACUGAUGUCAGA